UGAAUCUUUGCUAUGUGUGAAACUUCAGAUUCUUAGCAACUGGGGACAUCCAAAGUAUACUUGUUUGUACCGAUUUAGAGUCCAUGGCAUCCCCAGUGAUCACACUUAGAGGAGCUGGUGCAGAAGGCAGGGGCUGUGCAGCCAGAAUGUCCAAGGAUGUUUAUUAUUCCCUUAUGUCAUAUUGCACCCCUAAGAAUCAAAGAUUGGGAGUGGGAGGGAAACCCCAAACUCAUUCCUACUAGGCAGUAAGAAGUGAAUGAAUUUUACUAAUAAAAAAAUGAAAGUCAA
rnacentral:lncRNA from 1 species